GCAGGAAGCAAGCAGCAGCAGCGAAGUUGUGU
rnacentral:SRP_RNA from 1 species